UACGAAGGGGGCUAGCGUUGUUCGGAUUUACUGGGCGUAAAGCGCACGUAGGCGGUACUAUUAAGUCAGGGGGUGAAAAUCCCCGGGGGCUCAACCCCGAACUGCUUUCUGAUACUGGCAACCUAGAGGCUGGAAGAGGUUAGUGGAAUUCCCCAGUGUAGAGGUGAAAUUCGUAGAUAUGGGGGAGGAACACCGGUGGC
rnacentral:rRNA from 1 species